rnacentral:rRNA from 1 species
UACGGAGGGUGCGAGCGUUAAUCGGAAUUACUGGGCGUAAAGCGCACGCAGGCGGUUUGUUAAGCUAGAUGUGAAAGCCCCGGGCUCAACCUGGGAUGGUCAUUUAGAACUAGCAGACUAGAGUCUUGGAGAGGGGAGUGGAAUUCCAGGUGUAGCGGUGAAAUGCGUAGAUAUCUGGAGGAACAUCAGUGGCGAAGGCGACUCCCUGGCCAAAGACUGACGCUCAUGUGCGAAAGUGUGGGUAGCAAACAGC